GACGAACGCUGGCGGCGUGCUUAACACAUGCCAGUCGAGCGAGGUCCCUCCUUCGGGAGGGUGUCCUAGCGGCGAACGGGUGAGUAACACGUGGGCAACCUGCCCUCAGCUCUGGGAUAACUCCGGGAAACCGGGGCUAAUACCGGAUACGACCUCCACGGGCAUCUGCGGAGGUGGAAAGUUUUUCGGCUGAGGAUGGGCCCGCGGCCUAUCAGCUAGUUGGUGGGGUAGUGGCCCACCAAGGCGACGACGGGUAGCCGGCCUGAGAGGGCGACCGGCCACACUGGGACUGAGACACGGCCCAGACUCCUACGGGAGGCAGCAGUGGGGAAUAUUGCGCAAUGGGCGAAAGCCUGACGCAGCGACGCCGCGUGAGGGACGAAGGCCUUCGGGUUGUAAACCUCUUUCAGCAGGGACGAAGCGAAAGUGACGGUACCUGCAGAAGAAGCACCGGCCAACUACGUG
rnacentral:rRNA from 1 species